rnacentral:rRNA from 1 species
UACGUAGGGCGCAAGCGUUGUCCGGAAUUAUUGGGCGUAAAGAGCUCGUAGGCGGUUUGUCGCGUCUGCCGUGAAAGUCCGGGGCUCAACUCCGGAUCUGCGGUGGGUACGGGCAGACUAGAGUGAUGUAGGGGAGACUGGAAUUCCUGGUGUAGCGGUGAAAUGCGCAGAUAUCGGGAGGAACACCGGUGGCGAAGGCGGUUCUCUGGGCCUUACCUGACGCUGAGGAGCGAAAGCGUGGGGAGCGAACAG